rnacentral:ribozyme from 15 species
UUGUUGGUUUUCUUGUUUUUUUUUUUUUUUUUUUUUUUUUUUUUUUGUUUCUUUUGUGUGUGU